GACGAACGCUGGCGGCGUGCUUAACACAUGCAAGUCGAACGGAAAGGCCCUGCUUUUGUGGGGUGCUCGAGUGGCGAACGUGUGAGUAACACGUGAGUAACCCGCCCUUGACUUUGGUAUAACUUCAGGAAACUGGGGCUAAUACCGGAUAGGAGCUCCUUCUGCAGGGUGGGGGUUGGAAAUUUUGGGCGGUUGGGGCUGGACUCGCGGCUUAUAAGCUUGUUGGUGGGGUAGUGGCUUACCAAGGCUUUGACGGGUAGCCGGCCUGAGAGGGGGACCGGCCACAUUGGGAUGGAGUUACGGCCCAGACUCCUCGGGAGGGAAGAGGUGGGGAAUAUGGAAAAAUGGGCGGAAGCCGGAGGCAGGAAGGCCGGGGGGGGGAUGACGGCCUUCGGUUGGUAAACCGCUUUCGCAUGGGACAAGCCGUGAGUGACGGUAAUGGGUAAAGAAGCACCGGCUAACUACGUG
rnacentral:rRNA from 1 species